UAGGGAAUCUUCGGCAAUGGGGGGAACCCUGACCGAGCAACGCCGCGUGAGUGAAGAAGGUUUUCGGAUCGUAAAGCUCUGUUGUUAAGGAAGAACGAGUGUGAGAAUGGAAAGUUCAUGCUGUGACGGUACUUAACCAGAAAGGGACGGCUAACUACGUGCCAGCAGCCGCGGUAAUACGUAGGUCCCGAGCGUUGUCCGGAUUUAUUGGGCGUAAAGCGAGCGCAGGCGGUUAGAAAAGUCUGAAGUGAAAGGCAGUGGCUCAACCAUUGUAGGCUUUGGAAACUGUUUAACUUGAGUGCAGAAGAGGAGAGUGGAAUUCCAUGUGUAGCGGUGACAUGCGUAGAUAUAUGGAGGAACACCGGUGGCGAAAGCGGCUCUCUAGUCUGUAACUGACGCAGAGGCUCGAAAGCGUGGGGAGCGAACAGG
rnacentral:rRNA from 1 species